rnacentral:rRNA from 1 species
GAUGAACGCUGGCGGCGUGCCUAAUACAUGCAAGUCGAGCGAACAGACGAGGAGCUUGCUCCUCUGACGUUAGCGGCGGACGGGUGAGUAACACGUGGAUAACCUACCUAUAAGACUGGGAUAACUUCGGGAAACCGGAGCUAAUACCGGAUAAUAUAUUGAACCGCAUGGUUCAAUAGUGAAAGACGGUUUUGCUGUCACUUAUAGAUGGAUCCGCGCCGCAUUAGCUAGUUGGUAAGGUAACGGCUUACCAAGGCAACGAUGCGUAGCCGACCUGAGAGGGUGAUCAGCCACACUGGAACUUAGACACGGUCCAUACUCCUACGGGAGGCAGCAGUAGGGAAUCUUCCGCAAUGGGCGAGAGCUUGACGGAGCAACGCCGCGUGAGUGAUGAAGGUCUUCGGAUCGUAAAACUCUGUUAUUAGGGAAGAACAAAUGUGUAAGUAACUAUGCACGUCUUGACGGUACCUAAUCAGAAAGCCACGGCUAACUACGUG